CCCUGAACCACCUCGGCUGUGGGCUGCCAUCUUCACUGUCAUUACCAACCAGCCCGGAGCCUCUCUGAGGACAAGGCUUCCCUCUGUCUCUCUCUGGACCCCAGGCCUGUCGCUCUCCCUGUGCAUGGAGGUCACUUGUUGCUAUCAGCCGUAGCGUGUGGACUUCAUGAUACAAGCUGGCCUGCUGUGAAAGCCCACCAUGGAGGGGCCCAGGGAAGAGCGGCUGCCGCGUUCCUGGUUUCAGGGAAUGCAUUCACCUCAGGAAGUUUCUGUGGCGUGUGACAUAUGUGUCCGGUCAGCUCGACAUCUUCAAGGAGCUUCCUGGGAAGGCGGGAGAGGCACUCAUGCACAUAGCACACAGCCGUGAGCCAGUUUUGCACACAACAGCCAGGGUCACCUGUAUAAAUGCCAACAGGCGAUGCCACUUCACUGUUUAAAGCCCUUUAGUGUAUAGAAAAUAUAUAUCUAGUCACCAUUUCUUGUAUAAUUGGGCCUGGGCUCUUUUCAACCUUGCUCUCUUACAAGUCCAAUGAGCCUGGCCCUCUUUUGGUUUCUCCCAGCUCACACUGGCCUCAGGGCCUUUCCACUUGCUUCUGUCUGAAGCCCCUUCUGAUUUCAGGACUGGGUCCCUCAGAGAAGUCUUCCUGGACCAGCUAGAGUAAACUGGCAUCCCUGCUACUUGGAUCCUCUGUACUCUGAUCCCUGUGUGGGAUCUGAAAGGAUCUCACUUGUCAUCUCCUGAGUACCUCGUCCAACAGGACAGGAGGUCCCUGUGGGGAUAGGAAACGCUAUUCUGUUCACUGCAGUAUCCUAGGAGCCUAUAUAGUGCCAGACAGAAGGAAGAACAUAUAUAAGUUAGUAUCACGUAGCUAUGAAUUUUAUAAAGGAAGCAAACAAACCAAAAAGAGGUAUUGAGAGAGACAUGAGAGACCUGAACCGCUCGAGACUAAUACACAAGCCAGAUCUAGCCUGCCGUCGAGUUUGUAAAGACUACAAACUUGAGAAUAGUUUUUGCAUUUUUAAAUGGCUACAGCAAAAAUCAAAAGAACGGAAUUUUAUAACAUAUGGAAAUGAAGUUCCAGUGUCCAGUGAAGGGGUUUUACUGGACACUGGCCCACCCUCAUUCUUUUCCGUAGGAUCUGCCUUUACGCUACAAGAGUAAACAGGAGAGCUGUAACAGCGGUAUGUGGCUUUGUUAUACUGGAAGUACUUAUAGCUGGUCCUUUCCGGGAAAAGUAUGGCGACUUCUGACUUAGGUAAGGUAUUCCGGGAAGAGUCCUUAACAAAGAUGAUGCCUACAUUGAGAUUUAAAACACGAGAAUGGUUCACCUGCAGUUCAGAAAGACUGUUCAAAGUGCUCCAGGUAGAAAAAACAUCGUUGAAAUGGAAGCUCUACUCAGUGGCAUCUGAACUCUGACCUGAGACUUUUAAACUGCCAGCGCGCACCGAUGGGCCGAGGCAGGGUAGCAGGCAGAGCUGAAAAGAACUAAGCAUGGCUACUGCAUCAGUCCUUGCGAGAGGGGGGGCUCUGUCCAGAUCCCAGCCGCAGUGAAGCAGAGUGGAACGGGAGAAGCGGGCGGCAUCGCAGAGGUCUAACCAGGAGCACUCGGCGGAGGGCAAGGAGACAGGGGAGACAAACCCGAGGAAACACGGAUUCUCAGCCAGGGCGCCGUGACAAUGGUGGCUUUACCUUACAUGGGAGCACGGGCAGGCAUCAGGAGAGGGGCCGAUGGCCGAGUCAAGCUUUCACAAGACAAGCUGGAUUCAGGGUCGUUUCUCACCAAAGCACGCGGACAUGAGCUCCUCUGAGCACAUCUGUCAGCCCCAGAUAAACAUGCCGCUGCUAGCCUGUUUCCAUGGGUGUGACUGAACCCAGGCCCAAAGACAGCACUCCAUCAGCCUAACUUGGGGCAUUGCUUCCACGUCUGCACCCCAACGGGCCACCAAAUCCGAGUGUGGUGUGGUUGGCACCGUAGGGAAGCAGGCACUCUUUCCUGGAGGCGCUCCUGAUCGAUGCGUGGGAAGCUGAGCUGGUCCACGCCUGCUUGCCACUUGCCUAAGCGUGAAAGCCACCAGAAGAAAGCAGAGCUGAAACGGAGAACCAUCAAACUGGCGGCGUGGUGUGUCUCUUUGGAAACCAGGACUCCUCUGUGCCUCAAGUCAACUCUGUCCUCGCACGAGCUGAUACAUUCCUUGCUUUACUUAGCUAGGUUUGCCUUGGUUCACAGCCAAUUGUAAACAAGAGCUUUUGAUAAGCAUGGCUGAGAGUUAACAUGCCCAACAGCUGAAAUGACUGCUUACAAAAUAAUCGUAUGGCCGAUCUCUUCAGAGUUAAGGAAGAUCCUAAGUGGAGUCAAGAGGCAGAGCUACUUCCCUGACAAUCAGUCAGGUGCUUCAGAUGAGAUCCCUGAGGUGGCAGAGAUAACUGGGUGACGUCAUCCAUCUCUUUAGGUUCACGCACCUUUGUGCCUCUGCUUCAGGCUGCCUGGCUUUGAAGCCAGGUUCCACUACUCACUAGUUAUAAGAAGUGGUGUCCUCACCUCUGUCAGACACAGUCUCCUCAUCUGUAAAAUGAGGAGAGCUGUCUGCUUUCUGGACCUUGUGGAGAGAGAUGAAGGAGAAAACCCAGGUAUUGCUUUAAGCUGGUGUCUCUCAGUCCUGAGCAAGCAAACUACGUGGUUCUUUCAGUGUGAUCCCUGGACCAGAAUCACUGCUAUGAUCUAGCAAUGUGUUAGGAAUCUGAAUUAUAUCAACUGAACACUCUGAGGAAGGGGCCCACUCCUCUGUGGGAUAAACAGGCCCUGCAGGUGCUUCUGAAGCACGCUCAGGACUAAGAACCACCGGCUUGACACACUGCCCAGAUUUCCCCCUUUAUUUAAACCCAGGCAGACCGGACCAUGUACCUCUCUAAUGAUCCCCAGUGAGAGUGGACAAAUCCACGCAGUGCCGUGUUCCCAAGCAGGUGUCUGCCUCGUGUUUCCUUGGCUGGCAGCCACACUGCCCCAGAGCGACUCUACCCAUCACUAGCCUUUUGCAGAUCCUACUGAACUUUAGGACAACUUCUCAACCUCCAAGCAAGUUUCCUUAAAAGAACAGUCUCAGCUUUAACCAGACCUCAGGUAGGUCCUCUGGGGUCCCGGUGAGCACACAGGGAACUUGAAAUCAACAGCUUGCAAAUUCCUAUUCUGAAAAUCCCCUCUCCCCUUUAAGCCCCCUUCUCUGUGCCCUGCAUUUCCUCCCAGGGAAGGCUGUGUGGUUACAGAUGCCACACUGCCUGCUGAGAUUUAUAGGCAAUUGUUAACGUUUAGUUGGAAUCCCCAUUUCAGAUGUGGAAAUGGCUCAUCAUGUUCAACACAAGGGCCUCCCUGCAGCGAUGUAUAAUUUAAAAAUUAACUUGAGGACAGAGAAGACUGCAUUUUUGAACCAGGAAGUGAGAGAAGCAGAGGUCAAAGCUUGAUAAGGUGAGCUCAAGGAACUGGAUGAGUUAUUAAGCAAAUGUCUCUGCUACAUGCGUCCGUGACUCCAGAGCAUUUCCAGUGUCUUCCAGUUCACUCGCACUUGUCAAAGUGCAAGCAUGCAAGUGGUGUAUUUUUAUUAGGGUAUCUCUUCCCAUUGUUAGGAAAGUUCUCUAAUUCCUGACACAGACCUUUCCAAUAUAAAACAUUUUGCUGUCGGGAAGCAAGCAAACCAGGAAAAAAAAAAAAAUCAAUGCUUGAGCUCCAGCGAGGGGCAAACAGAUCUAAAUGGCAAGACCCAGAUAAGUUUAAUCAGAGACACCGGGGAACCAUGGCUGUUUACAGCGUCCCUGGCUCUGGGUGGAAAAGGCUCCAAAGGACUUUGGAUGGGAACACCCGCAUUCUCAUGUCUACGGAAAGGGAUAGAACCUGUGAUGGGGACAGAGCAAAAAAGACAGGGAAAGAGACAAUGAGCUCGUGAGGAAGGAAAAUCGGGUCGUGUUUUGCUUGUGUAAUGCCUGAGACACUUUAGAGCUUGUAGUGGUUCAGCCCUUCCUGGCCUUGUGACCAAGUCACUGCUCCUGCUUUGCUCCAGCAUCAAGUGGUUACAAUUAUGGGUUGCAAAUUUAUUGACAUCUGACAUCUACAGCAGCUUUUCCCUGAUCAACCGAACUCUCUGCUGCCAAACAGAAUAAUUAUGGAAGAUUUCAGCAGGCAUGGGGAUGCCAAAAAGGUCACUAAAUCAUUUUGAAAAAACAA